AAGGUCAGGCGAAUCUCCACGUCUUUGAGGACUGGUGUGGCUCCUCAGUCGCUCAGCUCAGGAAGAACCUGCAUUUUCCUCUCUACCCCCAUACGAGAACUGCUGUGAAGAAGUUGGCCGUGGCUCCAAAAUGGAAGAACUAUGGCCUGAGAAUAUUUGGAUAUAUUCUACCUUACAAAGAUGGUGAUUUUCAGUUUGCGGUUUCUUCCGAUGAUAACUCAGAGUUCUGGUUGAGUUCAGAUGACAGUCCUCUCAACGCCCGUCUGCUGGCCUACGUGGGAAAGCUGGGAUCUGAAUGGACCGCACCAGGAGAGUUUACCAAGUUCAGGUCUCAGGUGUCCAAGUCUGUGCA